GACGAACGCUGGCGGCGUGCCUAAUACAUGCAAGUCGAGCGAAGUUUUUCUGGUGCUUGCACCGGAAAAACUUAGCGGCGAACGGGUGAGUAACACGUAAAGAACCUGCCUUAUAGACUGGGACAACUAUUGGAAACGAUAGCUAAUACCGGAUAACAGCAUUAACUGCAUGGUUGAUGUUUGAAAGUUGGUUUUGCUAACACUAUGAGAUGGCUUUGCGGUGCAUUAGCUAGUUGGUGGGGUAAAGGCCUACCAAGGCGACGAUGCAUAGCCGACCUGAGAGGGUGAUCGGCCACACUGGGACUGAGACACGGCCCUGACUCCUACGGGAGGCAGCAGUAGGGAAUCUUCCGCAAUGGGCGAAAGCCUGACGGAGCAACGCCGCGUGAGUGAAGAAGGAUUUCGGUUCGUAAAGCUCUGUUGUUAGGGAAGAAUGAUUGUGUAGUAACGAUACACAGUAGAGACGGUACCUAACCAGAAAGCCACGGCUAACUACGUG
rnacentral:rRNA from 1 species